ACAUGCCUUAAUCUGAGCCCUCACCAUUAGCAAGGACAAGCAAUUCAGUCGACUCCUGGUACUCCUUUGCUACUGUACACAUACAUGGGGUAGUCUACAAAGAAAGUCCAUGGCAGGGAAGACCAUCAAAAACAAGGAGGAAAUACUAAAGCUCCUCGAGGCCAUCAGGCUUCCAAAAGAAGUUACCAUUCCACACUGCAAAGGACACCAGAAGGAGGACAACCCUACAGCAUGAGGAAAUCGUCUAGCAAAUAAAGCAGCCAAGGUAUCACCCCAUGGGUCCACCAUUCCAGAGUGCAGAUGGCCAAUCCUGAGGAGCCCCAGACUUGGAAGACUGACCUGAGUCUUAUCUUCAGCCCUGCUCCAGCCACACCCCGGAAGCUGGCUGGUCUAUGUACUGCAGAAGCUUGAAGAAUCACCAGUCAGAUAAAAUGUCUUUACUCUUCGCCACUGAAUUGUCAGAGGUUGCCCCAGAAAGUUGGGGAAACAGCAAGAGGUUCCUGUUCACGCUUACCUUUCUUUUAUGGACAGGAUGUUCUGUUGGUUUUCCUUCCCACCCUGCCUGCCAUGUGAACAGACUAUAAAUUGCCCCCUCUGCUUCUGCUCAGAACUCAGACCUCUGGAGAAUGAUCUCCACUGAGUCCACCAGUGUAAAAUAAACCUCCUGCCUUCCAUGA